GUGCUCACUUCAGCAGCACAUAUACUAAACCUGAAGUGAUACAGAGAAGAUUAUUAUGGCCCCUGUGAAAGGAUGGCAUGCAAUUUUGUGAAGUGUUCUGUUUUUCU
ensembl:snRNA U6 U6 spliceosomal RNA